AUGGACUCAGCCAGGCUGAGAGGUGUCAGCAGUGCCCUGCAGGAAUGUUCUGUGGAGACUGGGGAUUAUCCUCUCCAAGUGGUCCCUGCUGGCCAGGAUUCUUCUGCACAGCAGGAGCAAGUGUCCCAAACCCUAAUGGAGCCACAAACACGAGCACUGGUGGCCCAUGCCCACCUGGCCACUUCUGCCCAGCUGGCACAGCUAUCCCUCAGCAGUGCCCUGUGGGCACUUACUCAGACAGGCUGUCCAUCGGGCAGGAGUCCAGCUGCACAGCGUGCCCAUCUGGCUAUUACUGCCGCUCUGCUGGCCUCACGGCACCCUCAGGACCCUGCUCAGCUGGGUACUACUGCCUCUCUGGAGCUUCCUCACCAUCACCACCUGGUGAGUUGCCCUGGGUGAAUGUCAGUGUCUCCACUUAGUUGUGUCCGAUAAUUAAGGGUCUUGACAACAGAGAGCUUUGAAAAAUGGCAGUUCUUCCCCCAGUCCUCCUGUCCCUGCCUCUUCUCAGUUGUUUAAAUUUUAAUAUAAUUAAACCCUGUAUUAAUUUUGUUUGGGGUAUUCAUACGUCUGCAUACAUAACAAGGAUGAAAAAACAGGCAGUCCCCCAUCUGUGUUACUGAAUGAGAUGCUUGCACUGAAUGCUGGAAAGUUGUGAGUACCAGCCUGUAAUGGAAGUAGCCUGAUUCCCCCUUAUCAUUUUAUUGUGUACCAGAAAGAAUAACUUCCAGGGAAGAAUUCCAGGUCAAUUUCUGUGGACAAUUAAAUAUUCUCCAAAAUUCUUGUUACAUAUGAAGCAGAGUAUUUAGAAAGCUGAUAGGAGAAAAACACGUUCAGUGUGGCUUUGUCUGUGAAGCAAGGAGGAAAAAGACACAGUGUUGAAUAACUCCAAAGCUGAGGCAAUAGUCAUUUUAGAUACUGUGUUGUGCCUCCUCAUCACCUGUCUUCUGGGAUCCCAGAAAACAUAAUUAAGAAGAGAUCCUCAUCAGUUCACUCCCUUUGUUGGCACUGACCCUCCCUCAUAAGCUGCCUUUGUUGGCUUUGUC
rnacentral:lncRNA from 1 species